rnacentral:snoRNA from 1 species
CUGACAUGGUGAGAGAAAUUUGUGAGCAUACCCUUAAAUCUCUCCCAAGCUUGGUAGAUAUUCUCUCUUUCUUUCAAUCUAAAACUAAAGAUCUCGCACCUCAAGCG